rnacentral:tRNA from 1 species
GGAUAUUGUGUAAUGGUAAGACCUCAGCCUUCCAAGCUGAUGACGCGGGUUCGAUUCCCGCUAUCCG